AACGAACGCUGGCGGCAGGCCUAACACAUGCAAGUCGAGCGCCCGCAAGGGAGCGGCGGACGGGUGAGUAACGCGUGGGAACGUGCCCUUUGCUACGGAAUAGCCUCGGGAAACUGAGAGUAAUACCGUAUGUGCCCUUCGGGGGAAAGAUUUAUCGGCAAAAGGAUCGGCCCGCGUUGGAUUAGGUAGUUGGUGGGGUAAUGGCCUACCAAGCCGACGAUCCAUAGCUGGUUUGAGAGGAUGAUCAGCCACACUGGGACUGAGACACGGCCCAGACUCCUACGGAGGCAGCAGUGGGGAAUCUUGCACAAUGGGGGAAACCCUGAUGCAGCCAUGCCGCGUGUGUGAAGAAGGCCUUCGGGUUGUAAAGCACUUUC
rnacentral:rRNA from 1 species